rnacentral:rRNA from 1 species
AGAGUUUGAUCCUGGCUCAGGAUGAACGCUAGCGACAGGCUUAACACAUGCAAGUCGAGGGGCAACGGGACGUAGCAAUACGUUGCCGGCGACCGGCGGAUGGGUGAGUAACGCGUAUGCAACCUACCCACGACAGGGGGAUAGCCCGUUGAAAGACGGAUUAAUACCCCAUAAAACAGGGGUUCCGCAUGGGACUAUUUGUUAAAGGGUUCUCCGCGAGGGGGACAUCGGUUGUGGAUGGGCAUGCGUUCCAUUAGGCAGUUGGUGAGGUAACGGCUCACCAAACCGACGAUGGAUAGGGGAACCGAGAGGUUGGUCCCCCACACUGGUACUGAGAUACGGACCAGACUCCUACGGGAGGCAGCAGUGAGGAAUUUUGGUCAAUGGACGGAAGUCUGAACCAGCCAAGUCGCGUGAAGGAAGGCGGCCCUAAGGGUUGUAAACUUCUUUUGUAAGGGAAUAAAGUGCGUUACGUGUAGUGCAUUGCAAGUACCUUACGAAUAAGGAUCGGCUAACUCCGUGCCAGCAGCCGCGGUAAUACGGAGGAUCCGAGCGUUAUCCGGAUUUAUUGGGUUUAAAGGGUGCGCAGGCGGGGGAUUAGGUCGGCGGUGAAAUAUCAGGGCUCAACCUUGAGAGUGCCGUCGAAACCGGUUUUCUUGAGUGCGGAUGAAGUAGGCGGAAUUUGUGGUGUAGCGGUGAAAUGCGUAGAUAUCACAAAGAACACCGAUUGCGGAGGCAGCUUACUAAACCGCAACUGACGCUCAUGCACGAAGGCGUGGGGAUCAAACAGGAUUAGAUAC